GCCGGGCGUGGUGGUCCAUGCCUGUAAUCCCAGCUACUUGGGAGGCUGAGGCAGGAGGAUUGCUUGAACCCAGGAGUCAGAGGUUAUAGUGAGCCGAGAUCGUGCCACUGCACUCCAGCCUGGGCAACAGAGCGAGAUUCUGUCUCAA
rfam:Homo sapiens chromosome 11, GRCh38 reference primary assembly.